AUGAACGCUGGCGGCUUGCCUAAUACAUGCAAGUCGAUCGAACAGACGAGGAGCUUGCUCCUCUGACGUUAGCGGCGGACGGGUGAGUAACACGUGGAUAACCUACCUAUAAGACUGGGAUAACUUCGGGAAACCGGAGCUAAUACCGGAUAAUAUAUUGAACCGCAUGGUUCAAUAGUGAAAGACGGUUUUGCUGUCACUUAUAGAUGGAUCCGCGCCGCAUUAGCUAGUUGGUAAGGUAACGGCUUACCAAGGCGACGAUGCGUAGCCGACCUGAGAGGGUGAUCGGCCACACUGGAACUGAGACACGGUCCAGACUCCUACGGGAGGCAGCAGUAGGGAAUCUUCCGCAAUGGGCGAAAGCCUGACGGAGCAACGCCGCGUGAGUGAUGAAGGUCUUCGGAUCGUAAAACUCUGUUAUUAGGGAAGAACAAAUGUGUAAGUAACUAUGCACGUCUUGACGGUACCUAAUCAGAAAGCCACGGCUAACUACGUG
rnacentral:rRNA from 1 species